GUGUUUGUUUCAUUUUUUGUGUGCCUUUCUGGCUUUGUGUGUUGCGUGGUCUUGUGGUGUUGUGUUGGCUCGGAGUGUUUGUGCAAAGACCCAGUUUUUCGUGUGCUCAAAACGUGCAUCUUCUUGAGCUCACGGUACUACCGCGGCUGGCCGCGGUACUACCACUUUGGGAGGCACGGUACUAUCGCGCCACAGCACGGUACUACCGCUCAGGCGCGGUACUUCGGAAGUACCGCGCCGGGAGGUACUACCGCAUUGGGACACGGUACUACCGCGCCGUCGAGGGAGCGUGGGGGUUAUGACUCGGGCAGGGGAGUUCCAACUCCCCAUACUCAUUCAUUUGUCUCUCUCCCCAUGUCUCUCUCUCUCUCUCUCGCUCAAGAAUGGUGUCGGAGGCCCUCGCCGGAUCUCCGUCUCCGGCCACUCUCCUCGGAUUCCGACCGGUGGGAUCGUUCCCAACCACUUCCUCUUGCCAUGGACCAAGGUUUUUCCCCAAAUCCCUCUUUUUCUUGGUUGUUCUCUUGCUUCUAGGUUUUUGGGGAGAAACUUGUUGUUCUUGAGAUUUUAGGCCAAAUCUAUGCAAGAAUAGGAUGUAGGAGAGUCGUGAUGCGUAGGAAUCAUACUUGAUAUGCUGUCUUGUGGUAGCUUUGUCCAACCGUAGUACCGCCGCAGUUUCACGGACUUCUCUCAGAUUUGAACUCGUUCAGAUCUGACGCGGUGCGGUACUACCGUGUCUGAUGUGUGGUACUACCGCCCGUCAGGUGCGGUACUGCCGUGCUAGCUUGUGCGGUACUAUCGCUCAGCAGACGCGGUAGUACCACGCUAGCUGAGGCGCUAAGGUCGUACUACCGCUCCUAGACCCGGUACUACUGUGACCUUGCACGGUACUACCGCGUCUAAGAGCAGUACUACUAUCUUAGCUUCGCAGCACUUGGCAGUACUACCGUAGGGAUCAAAUCUCUCUCUAGGCAUUUAUCAUGUGUGCUUUCUGCUUGUUUCUCUUGCUUUGUUGUGGUCUUUGCAUUAAGCCCUCUUGGUUGUUGUGGGUGUUUUGCGUUUUUGUGUCUCAGGUGGUGGCUCUUGCCGUUCCAAUCCCAGUCGUGACACUGGCUCCAAGCGUCUGUGCAACCCCCAAGAUGAAGCCCCAGAGGGCUCCAAUGCCCCCAAGCACAAUGUCAAGACCACUGCCAGCAAGCAAAAGGAACCUGCUAAGGGCAUGGACGAGAUUUCUGUCUUUGAGUAUGUCGAACACCGGAGGAUCAAUCCCUAUGUGACUCCUCGGGUUGUGCUCAGAGGCACCGAGAUGUUCUGGAACAAGCAACAGGUUCUCAUCUAUCUGGAUGUGAUCAAGAGCAAGCAGAAUACCUUCGUGGAUGUCAAGUGGAUAGACAUGCAUCACAUGCGGAAGGACAAGUUUCGUGACUAUUUUGGAGAGGCUCUGGACUUGGUGGAGCAAUUUGCUAUUGAGCCGGUGAUCUCUUUUCACCAUGACUAUGACCCUGAGCUCAUCUGUCAGUUCUUUGCCUCAGUGUACUUUCAUCCUGGGGAGGAGCGGAGGAUGACCUGGAUGACCAACGGCCGUCAGCUGUCUGCUACAUGGAAAGAGUUCAUGGAUCUGCUGCACAUUCCUGAUGACGGGCUUCACACCCCCGUUGGUGUUCGCCCCCAUGCCAACUCUGAGUCUGCCAACAAGAACCUCCUUCAGCCUUUCCUUGUUGAGAAGGUGCUCCCUAAUGGCAAAUCAACUUGGGUAUUGAACUCCUUUCUCGAUAUCAUGCAUCGCAUCUUCCGCAACACUCUGUUCCCACGCAUUGGCGACAAGGACAAGGUCCAUGCAUAUCUAGUGGACAUGUCGCUCCUGUGUGCAGAGGCACGUUCUUCUCAGACUCAGCCACUUGAUGUCUCACACAUCAUGUGGUGUGAGCUUCGACUUGCGGUGUUCACUCGCAAGGUACCUAUCUAUGGACCGUACCUAUUUCUGCUGCUCUCCACCACUUGGGAGAAGAUGUACCCGGGUGAUGAGUUCCUUGCUCCAGACUGGAUUCGCCAUGAGUCCAUCAGCCUCCGCGUCAAGCCCAACUGGGCCAACACCACUCCCCGUGCUGAGGCCUCUUCUGCUAGGAGGGAUGCUGGUGAGGAGGAGGCUGCUGCUGAGAAUGUUGCUGAGGACCAUGCUGCUAGGUCCACCACUCCUUCCUCUGAGCCGUCAUGGGCCAAGAAGCUAAAGGACAAGAUGAAGACUCUCUUCUGCAUGCAGGCAAAGGGACAGUACAGGGCUCACGUGGCUGACAAGGAGAGUCGCCGCCGUGACAAGAAGGUUAUGAGGCUCUUUGGAGAGGAUGUGUCUGGCGGGUCUGAGGACGUCAUCACACCUGAGGCUGCCUGGAUGUCAAAGCAGGGAUACAAGUGGACCAGUUCAGAGGAUGACUUCGAGGAGACUAUCCCCGCCACUGAGUCUGACGAGGAGCACAAGGAGCAGUGGGACGACUUCUCUGCCUGAGCCACCCUGUGUGUGUAGGUGUCCUCUCUGCCUUUUUGGCGUCUCGAUGCCAAAGGGGGAGAGAGUGUAGGGAUUUGCGUUGUGUCAUGCUUGGUGCGUUUAUUUGCUUUGUCUUUUGGACCUCGUUUGUGCUUGUUUGCUCUUGUUUGGGUUGUGCUUUCGAGACCUUUCCACAUAUGGUGUAAGACAUAUGCACUUUAUCUAUCGUAGUUAACUUAUGUUUGUGCUAUCUUGUCUAGUGAUAGAUAUGCCUUGUCUCUAUAAUAUAGGGGGAGCUUUGAUCCUAGUAUUCGUGUGUCGUGCAGUCCAAAGCACUCAUCCGGGUGGCACACAUCUAAGGGGAGCCCGUCUAUAUUCUAGAGAGGAGGGGUUUGCAUUUACUUAAUAUUAUUUUCCUUGUGCAAAUCUCGUAUUGUCAUCAAUCCACGAAAAAGGGGGAGAUUGUAAGGGCAUACUUAUCCCUAAGUGUUUUGGUGAUUGAUGACAACGCAUUUGCGGACUAAUCAUGUGCCUUGAGUAUUCCAGACACUUCAUUGCUAGGCACAAGACGGUUGGGUGCCCCUCGAAGACUGAUGAAGACGACGUCUUUUCUAUGUUUCUUUUUGGUGGAUUUGAGUCCUAGGAAAGCCGUACUAUUAAGAGGGAGUCCGCAUUGGAAAGGUUUGGGUGGAAUCAUCACGUACACGUCUCCUUCUUGUCUCCUCCUUUUCCUUGGAGCUUCCUUCAUUUUCUUGUCUCCCUUGUCUGGCUGCUGUGGUUGGUCACGGUAGUACUGCUCCCAGGAAAACGGUAGUACCGUAGGCAUCCGCGGUAGUACCGCGCGGUGGCGCGGUAGUACCGCGCGGUGGCGCGGUAGUACCGCAGGUGCCCAUGGUAGUACCGCUCCCCUGGAGCCGCACUACCGCUGCCCACCAGGCUAGUGCCGCCCCUUUGCGGUAGUAGGGGCGGAUGUAAUUUUUUACAUCCGCACCUACCGCGGUAGUACCGUUUUCGUCGAGCGGUAGUACCGCGCUAUGCAGUCAGGCAGUAGUACCGCCCCUCGGCGGUACUACUGUGUCGGGUUUUUGCUACUUCCGUUUCUUUGCGGAAUUAGGCACGGAUGUUCCCUUCCCCCUGGCUGGGGGUUUUUGCCUUGCGGUAGUACCGCAUGGGGGGCGCGGUAGUACCGCGCGUGCGGAAGUACCGCCCCCAGCUCAUGCGCGUCUGUUUAUCUUUACUGUCGCUGGGGUUGCGGCAGUACCGUGGGUCGAUACGGUAGUACUACACAGCCGUGCGGUAGUACCGCACAGCCGUGCGGUAGUACCGCUUGGUUGCAAGCAGUAGUACCGCACGGCCUUGCGGUAGUACUGCUGGCCAGGCGCGGUAGUACGCUGGCCGCGGGCUGGUUGGUGGGUAACGGUUGGAUCCUUUUCCCACACUAUAUAAGGGGUCCCCUUCUUCUCCGUUGACUUACCUCUUCCACCCCUAAGCUCCAUUAUUGCUCUAAGCUCCAUUUUCGCCCGAUCUCACUCCCUAGCCGACCAAACUUGUUGAUUUGCUCGGGAGUGGUUGAGAAGGCCUCGAUCUACACUUCCACCAAGAGAUAUUUGAUUCCCUCCACUAAUCCCUUGCGGAUCUUGUUACUCUUGGCUGUUUGAGCAUCCUAGAUGGUUGAGGUCACCGCAAAGCCAUAGUCCAUUGUGGUGAAGCUUCGUGGUGUCGUUGGGAGCCUCCAAUUAAGUUGUGGAUAUUGCCCCAACCUAUUUUGUAAAGGUUUGGUCGCCGCCUCCAAUGGCACCAAUAGUGGAAUCACGACAUCUCGCAUUGUGUGAGGGCGUGAGAAGAAUACGGUGGCCCUAGUGGCUUCUUGAGGAGCAUUGUGCCUCCACACCGCUCCAACGGAGACAUACUUCCUCUCAAAGGGAAGGAAUUUCGGCAACACAUCCUCGUCUCCACCAUCUCCACUCUUGGUUAUCUCGUACCUUUACUUGUGCAAGCUUUUUGUUUCAUAUAUCUUGCUUGCUUAUGUUCCUAUCCUUGUUGCAUCAUGUAGGUUGCUUAUCUAGUUGCAUAUCUAGACAACCUACUUUGAUGUAAAAUUUAAAUUGUUAAAGAAAAGCUAAAAAUUGUUAGUUGCCUAUUCACCCCCCUCCCUUUAGUCAACCAUAUCGAUUCUUUCAGCCUGGUUUGUGAAUCCUUUUUUAUGGAUCGUGUGGCAUCGUUGGAUCCGUUGUACCGCCACAUUGGGUGGGUACGUUGUUGGAGUGGUUGAAGUCUGCAGUCUAUAGCAACGGCCAUCACAUCAAUAAUGGUAAGUUUGUAAUGGCCGAGGAGUGUGACUUGGGCGGCCAAUCGCUCGACUUCGGCAUCCUCCUAGGUAUGACUCCUCUGCCGCCAGUUGUAUCUCUUUUUCAGCGGUGCAGGGGAGUAGGUGGGAAGCCCUUCUCGUACGGGAUCUUCAAAAAGGACAUCAGCUACAUAAAACCACUCCGACUCCCAUGUUUCGGCGUCCUCCUUCAGGGUGCUAGGCAUGUAACCAUUCACUCUCCCCUAUUGUUAGACGACCAUCAAAGAUUGCCCUAAAUUUAAAGAGCAAUAUGCCGCCCAAAAGAAGAAUGGAGGGCCAACGGCCGUAGUUGAGCAUGAAGGAGAGAAGCGACCGAGGGCAAGACCAACUCCAAGGUGGACGAGGAGCGUGAUGCGGCAUCGUUCGCCUUGCAACAAACUUUGCAAGGCAUGAUGACCCAAAAGAAAGCACGAGACGAGAGGAAGCGCCAACAAGAAAAGAGAAGCAAAUGAAGGUCUACAUCGAGUUCCAAACAAAGAUGCUCGAGAUGGAGACCAUCAAAAGGAGGAAGCUCGAGACUGAGGAGGCCGUCUAAACAAAGAAGCUCGAGACUGAAGCGACCAAUGUUCUCAUUGCGAAGGUGGUGAUCAUGGCGCGAGUAAAAUGCAUCAGCCGUCCCUGAACUCGCUGGCAAGGACCAAAACGGUCCCUAAACUCUGAAACUGAUCCAAUACGAUCCCUAAAAUUGUAAAUACGAUGUCAGUACGGUCCUGGAACUUGUGCGACCAGUCCUCGGCUACGCAUGUGCGUACUGCUCGCGUACGCCGCGACGUCCAGGUCAGCUACAGACAAGUUCGCGGGCAACCGCUGCCAGUCCUGGGUGUUUUUGCGUUCGCCGCCCCCAGGAUCUGCUUUCAUCAGUCAUCCGCGUCGCAUGUUCCUCUUGUCAGACCAGAAGUAAUCGACCUUGGAGUCUUGGAUAGCGGCGGCCGCCUGAUGAUCGUCGGCAGGUCCAGCACGUGAACGGCCCAGGGACGGCAGAGGAACGAAGCAGCUCGCCGCCGCAUCUUCCAACGGUGCUCUGCGGCGCCGAUGAGUGCUUGAUACGGCGGCUGGUUGAGGUUGCGGCUCCGACGUACAGUAAGUCAAAAUUAUCCAGGUGUGGCAUGGUUUUAUUCUUUUAUGUGAAGAUCGAGUCAUUCCCAAAUGGAUUAAGUAAUGAUUUCUAGUUCCCCUAUGUCUGCUGUUUGAUUUCAUGGAAUUUCAUACGCAUCAUGCUAGGGCUCAUUGAAUAUUGGGUUCCUGAAAGUGAAUUGAGCACUGGCCAUGUUUGAUCAUAGGGGAUUAAGCACUCUUUUUGGUGAGCGACUGACUUGCUUAAUUAUACUCUGUUUCAGGGAAAGAAAGCCCGUUUUUCACUCGUGGGGAGGCUGCAAGGCAACAAGCUUGGGAAAUGCAGAAUAACCAAGAGGACACGAACUACAACAAGUAGUUCAACGGCAGAGGAGGAAAGGUUAGAUUCAUGCCAGAGAAAGAAGCCAAUGAAAAUAGGUGCGUCUUCCAAUCAGACCAGGGUCACCAGGCUAGGCUUCAAGAAACCUAGAAGGGUUAGCAUGUUUGAUGAAUUUAGGUGAGAAGAAAUAUGUCGUCAGAAAUGGGGAUCUUCAUGACUUUUGUGUUUCUGCUUAUGAUCGGGCGCAGAACUUGUAAUGGCUAUGUUCUGUUUAUGAUCAUUGUGCUGAUCAUAAGACUACUAAAUUUGUAAACCUGCUAUGUAAUGUUCAGGUUCAACACUUAUGCUUUGACAUGUUCACUUCAUAUAUGUGUACUGGCAAGAGUUUAGUGCAAAAGUUCACGGCAUAUAUGUGUUAUCACUGUCAAAAAUCAUUACGGUACAUGUUCAGUGCAAGGAUAGUUCACAAUAUAGCUGUCUGGGAUAGUUCACAUAAAUAUGCCAGAUAGCAAAUUUCACNNNNNNNNNNCCCAUUGGAACACAAUGUGGUUCACAAACACAAGAUAAUUUGCAAACAAUGCUAGUGCAACAAUACUAGCUCAGACUGCCAAGUUCAGUACUCUAAGAUAUACAUAUAACUGGAAUUAACAUACUGUCGUCUUGAUGCCCAGCGAUCCCGACGUCGCGCCAAUUGCUCGGCUCCAGCCACUGAACUGGAUCCGCCGGCGGCAACACUUCAAUUUCAUGCAGACUCCAGAACAGAGGUGCACUUCUCCGGCGUUGAGAAACACAGCCACAGGUCGUGCGGUGGGCACGGGUCAUGCACACCUCGCACGGCAGGACGCCGCACCGCUUCCCCAUNNNNNNNNNNNNNNNNNNNNNNNNNNNNNNNNNNNNNNNNNNNNNNNNNNNNNNNNNNNNNNNNNNNNNNNNNNNNNNNNNNNNNNNNNNNNNNNNNNNNNNNNNNNNNNNNNNNNNNNNNNNNNNNNNNNNNNNNNNNNNNNNNNNNNNNNNNNNNNNNNNNNNNNGCGGCCACAAGUGCGUCCGCCUUCAUCAAAUCGCCACCAUCUCCAUCAGCACGUGCCCACGGGACAUCCAUGGACGGCGUCCGCGCGAGGAGCACAUGGCCUGUCACUGGGCGGAGACAGGGCUCUCCCCGCCGCGCCACCUCCGCCCGAGGAGCAAGCUGCGGCUCGGGCCACCGGCGGAGACGGGUGGGGGAGGCGCGACUUGGUAGCCACCGGCGACGGGAGGUGGAUAGGCGCCGAGGUUGCUGCCGUCGCCGUCGACGGAACUAUGUGUCACGGUGGCGCCGCCCAUCGCCCAUCGUGCGGGAUCAUUCGUGGUGGACCGCUAUUUGGGGAAGCUAGGAAUUGCGGCUUGCUUUGACCAGGAGACGACCAGAUUUUCUGACCGCGGGCCCUCUUUGUUGACAUGGCUGACGUGCACGUCGCCGCGUACGCGAGAAGUAGGCGCAUACGUAGCUCAGGACUGGUUGCACGAGUUGCAGGGCCGUAUUGACAUCGUAUUGUCAAGUUUAGGGAUCGUAUGGAAUCAGUUUCAGAGUUUAGGGACCGUUUUGGUCCUUGCCAGCAAGUAAGGACGGUUGAUGCAUUUUACUCUCAUGGCGCUGGAGUUGAGAAGACGUCACUAAGGAGAAGGGUUUGGUUCGAGAAGAAACAAAAGCGAUGCUAAAUGACUGAGCUACGGCCAAGGGCAAGCUAAAUUAUUGAUGAAUACUUUGACGCUAUGGCCGCGGCCUAUUUCAGUUCUUAAUUAUUUGCUCCGGUGCCUGCGGCUGCAGUCGUGAGGAGUUGGCCUCAGUGGAGCAGCGCGCCGUUCUACAUAGCAGUUGCGGAUCGUAUGCGCUCCUAAUUAACGCAACCUAGGGGACUAGAAGCGGAAGCACGACAACAGCCACAUAAUUAACAUCAGGCGGCAAUUCAGAGUUCAUACAGCAUCAGCGACUCAUAUUAUUAGAUCACACGAAAUUGCAGGUCAUUUGACAUCAUUCUUAGAAAAUCCCUCGACAUAACAAGCAGCAACGCUGGUUCCAUGAUUCACGAGACAAUAUAUUGAACAGCCAAAACCAACAAACGAUGCAUUAUCCAUGAGAUCAUGACUGCGGCUAAGACACAGAUAGUAAAUUAAGCAGAAGUACCAAGGCAGAUAUUACGCCUCAAGACAGUCAAAAAAAGAAGAUACCACAGCCGUUUUACCAGAACAGAGGCCACUAAAACAAGAUACAUAAUCUAGCUAGAGUAGCUGAACCCCGAGAUCUUGUAGAUGCGGAUAGUUCCAUCGGUGUAACCAGCA
rnacentral:lncRNA from 1 species